rnacentral:misc_RNA from 1 species
AAGUCGUAACAAGGUUUCCGUAGGUGAACCUGCGGAAGGAUCAUUAACACGUAUCCAAACGUUAAAACCCCCCCCGUGAACCUUCAUCCUGCUCUUGUAACCCGCGUAGUUUGCAAUCUCUGAUAAAUCAUAGCCCGGAAAGUUGUAGUGAUCCAGAGACCUCUGGCUACGUGCGAACAUUGGAACAGUUACCAUCGAGCGGUAGUUCUAUAGGCAAUGUUUUCCGAAAGCGCUUCUACGAUUCCUGUAGACCGUACACUCGGGCAGGAGCUUUGCCAAAGGGUCCCCAUGCCCCCUAAUAACCCCACAGUUUAAUGUGAAGCUCAAUGUAAUCCAUUGGGUAAAAAAACCGAACAACUGUUAACAAUGGAUGUCUUGGUUCUC